UACGGAGGGUGCAAGCGUUAAUCGGAAUUACUGGGCGUAAAGCGUGCGCAGGCGGUUUGUUAAGUCUGUUGUGAAAUCCCCGAGCUCAACUUGGGAAUUGCAAUGGAUACUGGCAGGCUAGAGUAUGGUAGAGGAAGGUGGAAUUCCCGGUGUAGCAGUGAAAUGCGUAGAGAUCGGGAGGAGCACCAGUGGCGAAGGCGGCCUUCUGGACCAAUACUGACGCUCAUGCACGAAAGCGUGGGGAGCAAACAGG
rnacentral:rRNA from 1 species